rnacentral:rRNA from 1 species
UACAGAGGUCUCAAGCGUUGUUCGGAUUCAUUGGGCGUAAAGGGUGCGUAGGCGGCGCGGUAAGUCGGGUGUGAAAUCUCGGAGCUUAACUCCGAAACUGCAUUCGAUACUGCCGUGCUUGAGGACUGGAGAGGAGACUGGAAUUCAUGGUGUAGCAGUGAAAUGCGUAGAGAUCAUGAGGAAGACCAGUGGCGAAGGCGGGUCUCUGGACAGUUCCUGACACUGAGACACGAAAGCGUGGGGAGCAAACAGG